GAUGAAGAACGUAGCGAAAUGCGAUAAGUAAUGCGAAUUGCAGAAUUCCAGUGAGUCAUCGAAUCUUUGAACGCACAUUGCGCCCUUUGGUAUUCCGGAGGGCAUGCCUGUUCGAGCGUCAUUAUCACCCCUCAAGCCCUCGGCUUGGUGUUGGACGGUUUGGUGGAGGCCCCCUCGGGGGCUCCUGCCCCUCCCAAAGACAAUGACGGCGGCCUCGUUGGACCCCCGGUACACUGAGUUCUUCACGGGACACGUAUCGGACACAUGGGUUUACGGGACACGGUCUGCCUCCCCUCAGGGAGAAUCUUUCUAAGGUUGACCUCGGAUCAGGUAGGGAUACCCGCUGAACUUAAGCAUAUCAAUAAGCGGAGGA
rnacentral:misc_RNA from 1 species